GAUGAACGCUGGCGGCGUGCCUAACACAUUCAAGUCGAACGGACUUUACGGAGCUUGCUCUGUAAAGUUAGUGGCGGACGGGUGAGUAACGCGUGAGCAACCUGCCUUAAUGAGGGGAAUAACACAGGGAAACUUGUGCUAAUACCGCAUAACAUAUGUUUAUUGCAUGGUAGACAUAUCAAAGCUACGGCGCAUUAAGAUGGGCUCGCGUCUGAUUAGAUAGUUGGUAAGGUAACGGCUUACCAAGUCGACGAUCAGUAGCCGGACUGAGAGGUUGAACGGCCACAUUGGAACUGAGAUACGGUCCAGACUCCUACGGGAGGCAGCAGUGAGGAAUAUUGCGCAAUGGGGGCAACCCUGACGCAGCAACGCCGCGUGAGUGAGGAAGGUUUUCGGACUGUAAAGCUCUGUCGAGCGGGAAGAAGUGUACCAUGGCUAAUAUCCAUGAUAUUUGACGGUACCGCUAGAGGAAGCACCGGCUAACUACGUG
rnacentral:rRNA from 1 species